rnacentral:snRNA from 1 species
AUCGCUUCUUGGCCUUUUGGCUAAGAUCAAGUGUAAAAGCAUUUAAUUUUUACUCUUUCUAAAUUGAUAAAUAUGUUAGAAAUAGUAAACGAUGCUAUUGUCUAGGGCAGACUAUACUAUUAAUUCUUCAAUAGCCUUUUAUGCUAUGGCAAUCUGAGCAAAUAAAUGAAGACUCAA